rnacentral:rRNA from 1 species
GUUGAACGCUGGCGGCAUGCCUAACACAUGCAAGUCGGACGGGUGGUGGUGUUUUCCGUGUCGGAUGGGCGAGUAACGGGUAAGUACUUGCUCUUGGGCUGGGUACAACAAGUGGAUAAGGUUGCUAAUAGGGCGCAGGCAGAGGAUAAGUAGGAGGGAACCGCUCGCGGGGGGGUCUGAGUUCGAUUUGCUAGUUGGGGAGUUAAUAGCUUACCAAGGCGAUGAUGUGUAGGCGGUCCGAGAGGAUGAUCAGCCACACUGGGACUGGGAGAAGGAGCAGAGUACUACGGGAGACGGGCGAGAGGAAGUUUCCGCAAUGGGGGGUAGGCUAACAAGGUCAUCGGGCGGGGAAGUAGAAGGCGCAGGGGUCGAGAACAUCUUUUCACGGAGAAGAAACAAUGACGGUAUCUGAAGAAUAAGCAUCGGCUAACUCUGUG